rnacentral:rRNA from 1 species
GCGUGCUUAACACAUGCAAGUCGAACGGAAAGGCCCUGCUUUUGUGGGGUGCUCGAGUGGCGAACGGGUGAGUAACACGUGAGUAACCUGCCCUUGACUUUGGGAUAACUUCAGGAAACUGGGGCUAAUACCGGAUAGGAGCUCCUGCUGCAUGGUGGGGGUUGGAAAGUUUCGGCGGUUGGGGAUGGACUCGCGGCUUAUCAGCUUGUUGGUGGGGUAGUGGCUUACCAAGGCUUUGACGGGUAGCCGGCCUGAGAGGGUGACCGGCCACAUUGGGACUGAGAUACGGCCCAGACUCCUACGGGAGGCAGCAGUGGGGAAUAUUGCACAAUGGGCGGAAGCCUGAUGCAGCAACGCCGCGUGCGGGAUGACGGCCUUCGGGUUGUAAACCGCUUUCGCCUGUGACGAAGCGUGAGUGACGGUAAUGGGUAAAGAAGCACCGGCUAACUACGUGCCAGCAGCCGCGGUGAUACGUAGGGUGCGAGCGUUGUCCGGAUUUAUUGGGCGUAAAGGGCUCGUAGGUGGUUGAUCGCGUCGGAAGUGUAAUCUUGGGGCUUAACCCUGAGCGUGCUUUCGAUACGGGUUGACUUGAGGAAGGUAGGGGAGAAUGGAAUUCCUGGUGGAGCGGUGGAAUGCGCAGAUAUCAGGAGGAACACCAGUGGCGAAGGCGGUUCUCUGGGCCUUUCCUGACGCUGAGGAGCGAAAGCGUGGGGAGCGAACAGGCUUAGAUACCCUGGUAGUCCACGCUGUAAACGGUGGGUACUAGGUGUGGGGUCCAUUCCACGGGUUCCGUGCCGUAGCUAACGCUUUAAGUACCCCGCCUGGGGAGUACGGCCGCAAGGCUAAAACUCAAAGGAAUUGACGGGGCCCCGCACAAGCGGCGGAGCAUGCGGAUUAAUUCGAUGCAACGCGUAGAACCUUACCUGGGUUUGACAUGGAUCGGGAGUGCUCAGAGAUGGGUGUGCCUCUUUUGGGGUCGGUUCACAGGUGGUGCAUGGCUGUCGUCAGCUCGUGUCGUGAGAUGUUGGGUUAAGUCCCGCAACGAGCGCAACCCUUGUUCACUGUUGCCAGCACGUUAUGGUGGGGACUCAGUGGAGACCGCCGGGGUCAACUCGGAGGAAGGUGGGGAUGACGUCAAGUCAUCAUGCCCCUUAUGUCCAGGGCUUCACGCAUGCUACAAUGGCUGGUACAGAGAGUGGCGAGCCUGUGAGGGUGAGCGAAUCUCGGAAAGCCGGUCUCAGUUCGGAUUGGGGUCUGCAACUCGACCUCAUGAAGUCGGAGUCGCUAGUAAUCGCAGAUCAGCAACGCUGCGGUGAAUACGUUCCCGGGGCUUGUACACACCGCCCGUCAAGUCAUGAAAGUUGGUAACACCCGAAGCCGGUGGCCUAACCGUUGUGGGGGAGCCGUCGAAGGUGGGACUGGUGAUUAGGACUAA